AGAAGGGCGAAAAAAAAUAUCAAAUAAAGCGAGCCGCUGCUUCCAAAAUGAAUCCCUGGACGGAGGAGCUCUCCCUCGGGAAUGAGUGAGACUUGGCAGGUUUAUUGGGUUUAUUUUAUUUCGGGGGCGCGGGGGGGGUUAUUCCUUGAAGUGUAAAUUUAAGGCAUUGCCGUGCUCGGCGGUGCGGAGAAACCCCCGGCGGACCGAAAAUCUCGUAGGUUUGGUGGAGUGGGUUUGUUGGGGGGGUUUCUUUCUUUUUUUUUCUUUCUUUCUUUUUUUUUUUUUUUUUUUUUUUUUUAAGUCUUUAGUAAAUGUGCAAAUAAAGAGCCGGGGAAGGAGGAGGAGGAGGCGGCUCGGGUUAGUUUAGUCUUUGUGCUUUCUCGUUUCUCUCGCCCGCUCGUUUCUGGCCACUCUCCGGCGUGUGACUGUGUCCGGCUGGCUGCCGCUAAACUGUAGUUCCUCUGAAAAUCAGAGAGACGGAUUCCCCGGUCCGGAACAAUGUCAGUCAGUGGACUUCCAGACCACGCUUCGCCUUCGCUUAAUCCAGCCACUGGCUCAAUGUUAUUGCUCUGCUUAGGAGGGUCAGUCACAGAACACAUGUGCAACAGUAACACACCAAUCUCAUGGAGAAUAAACAGGGGUAUUUUACAUGACAGCUUGGCUGGGAUUUUCAAAGUGGCUGUGGGAAUAUGAAAUCCGUGGUGCUGCUCCGGAAGCUAUCAAGGCAGCUGGAUGAGUUCUCUCUCUUACAAGAUUUUGUAGAACUCAGUGACUGAUCUUUCAAAACAAAGUUGUUUUUUUUUCAUUUUAACUUGAGAAGUUUAAGAUUCACUUUUUGCCAAACAGCAUCUCGUUCGGUCUGUGGUUUGAUCUCCCUUUCGGGGUGAGAGGCAGCUGGCUGCGGGGCUGCACUGCGAGUCCCGCUCGCUCAAUCCGCAGCAAAUGCUGCCCCUGGUGUUUCACAGCAGGAAAUACCCCAAAAUCGUCCCUCGGCUUUCCAUGUUUUGUCCAGAAGACCUUGGUGAAAUGCCACCAUCCCUGGACACCACCAUCAGUUUUGGAUAGGUUGGUUGUCAAUUUUCUUAAAAGCAAACUGUUCUUAACAUGAUCAUAACAUCCCUUGUGCUUUGUGUUACUAAACAUGCACAGGAUAAAACAUUUAAUGUAACAGGACCUGAACAAUUAAUUACUUUUUUCCCCUUCUGUUGACACUGAUUUGUGACCUUUUUACAUGAUACUGUAAUCUCACAUGAGCUGUCAUGCUUGAGCAUUUUUUCUGUGUGAAUUCCCUACUGUUGUUGAAGCUCUGAGUUUCCCAAGCUGGCAGCCCCUUCCAGAUCAGCAAAGCACUUAUUUGUGCUGGGUUCACAGCCAGACAUCCCAUUGUGGUAAUACCUUUACAAAAAUGGAACAAAAAGACUGAGCUGAACCUAUGUCACCUAAAAUCUCAAGUGCAUACCUUGUUC
rnacentral:lncRNA from 1 species